UCUUCCCUAAAAUCAAGUUUUCAGAUUAUAAUUUUGGUUGGUAGUAUGGUAUGUGUAUAGAUAAUGCAAAUUGCUCAGAAAGUGGUACAUCAUGACUGGCUAAAUAUUUUGAGAAGAGUGAAGUGAUUUUUAUCAUGUGAAUGCGAUUUAGGAGAGUGGUUGUUUACAUAUUGAUGUGUACUGGUAAUAAAUACUUUCAUUAAUUGAAUGGUCUGUGUACUUCAGUGGUUAACUAUGCACAAAAUUAUAUACUUUGUUCUACUAGGAAUUUAAUCUCAGCUCCCCCAUCUCCAUUCAGAAGACUUUUGUGUGAAGUACAAUGUCUUUCAUACUGGCAAAGUUCACUCAAUGUAAAUAAAUUGUGUCCUGAACUAAACCUUGCUCUAUUCUCGAGUAUAAUCAUCCUGAUUGCCAUUCAUAAAUUCCAUUUCAAGUCUUGAGAACUACACAUUUCAAUGCAUGUAGUCCAUGUUGGGCUUAUGCUUACAAUACCAAGUAAAGAAACUUGAUGCUCAACAUUGUUUCAUGCAGUGUGUAUACAGUACCUGGAGUCACAGUUUGGAAAUUCUGGUUGUCUUGACUGUCAUCUAUUUCCUCCUCACUCUGAUCCUCAUCAUCCACACAAGAAACACAAGUACUGGCAUCAAUAUCCUUUACUUCCUCUGGAAAAAAAUGAAACUUGAUUUUAAAAACACAAAUAUUUAAACCAGAAUAGAAAGUGCCAUUUUAUGAUAUACACACAUGUUCAUAGGUCAAAACCUUUGUAAUGUGAGGUAUGAGCCUCCACCUUUUUGUUUUAAGUUUUGCACAAUUAUCAUUGGCCUUGGAUCCCUGAUUUUAUGGCAUUAGUAAUGAAAAAUGAUAUUAAUUCUUACAGUUACUGCCAAGAUAAAAGAAAUGCUGUGGUCAUAAUUCUACAUUAAAACACUAUUUUUGCUGACCUCAUCAAUGGGUGCAGAUUUAUCUAUUAUGCCCGAAUAAAAGUCGUAGUAGAAGUCAAUUUAAGUGGAAAUAUAUCUUACUACAUAACUUCACCAAUUUAUCACAAGAAAUUACCCGUACCAUCACGUAGCUGUCUAGCCUGUCAGUUGUCAAGGAUAAUACGCGGGUAUUAAAAUGAAAGUUGAAUGGGGAGGUGAAUACCGAUCCCGACCAGAAUCAAGACGAAGAAAAUCAGAAAUUUUACAAUAAUAGGGGAAAAAUCCAGGCGGGCGGGGAUGAAAAUCUAUAAAAAAUGUUAUUAUGGUCUAACACAUCUAUGGCGAUUGACAAGAAAUUGCACGGAUGUAAGAGAGAAUAAACAAGAUUACAGCACUGGCAGAAUGACAAGAAAUCAAACACUCGAUGCGCAUUUUCAACACCCAUAAUGUGCCUUACUUCAAUCAGCUGUUUACAGUGGUUUACACAGGAACUUGGACCUACGUUAGAUACCACCACACAAAAAGAAAUCCAGAGAAAAUUUAAAUUUUUAGGACUUAUGAAGUAUUGUUUUAACAUUAGUUUGAAAAUAGUUAAUCUAGAGCAUUUUUAAUAUAAUAUUAUAAGUAUAAUCUAACAUUAUACAGUUAUUGACUGGGUUCGAGGACAACAGCUGUUUUGUUUGACCCAAGAACGGGUAUGUUGCCCGAAGCCGUAGGCUGAGGGCAACCGAUCCGUUCGAGGGUCAAACAAAACAGCUGUUGUCCGAGGACCCAGUUAAUAACUGUUUUGUUAUACACCUUCAGUUUAUAGGUUGUUUUUACUAGAUGAACAUGGUUUGUUGACUUUAAACGGAUCGACAGUGUGAUUGCGUACAUUUAUCACCGAUUCCACUAGUUUAAAAGAAAACAUACCCAAUACCCUAAUUGAUAAUUAUAUUUUUCGUGAAUCUGCUCUGCUUUUCAUCUUAUAAAUUCCAUAUUUCAUCAUCAGUCAAAUCAGUGAACCUCGCCAUUACGUAAACAAAUCAGCAGACCAAGAAUCAUGUGACUUGCGUAUAACCGCUUUAACACGAAUAAAAUAAAAAUAAGUAAACUUCAUCUUAAUAUACAAUUGAUUCUAGAAAAUGAUGAAGAGAUAUUUUUUGAUGUUCUUGCUGUCCCUACUUUGAACAUUUAAUUGAACUUCAUCUUCCGUUGCUGUCGCAAAAUGGUCACCCGUCAUUUCUCUUUAUCCAAACGGCACGAAAAAAUAACUCGAGUUAGCGCCAUAUGACGUCAUCGGUCAACAGUCAUUUAUAACAGUCGAUUUUAACAGUUCCCGGUCCAACAGUCGCCAGAACAGUCGAAAUGUUGGACUUAUAUUUGUAAGGAGUUAUAUAGGAACUGUUUAAUAGGGGUAUAACAAUAAUAAAUGUAUGUUACCAUCUAAUAUGCAUCAUGCAGCUUAUCAUAAUCAUCCUGACCGUGUGGUCCCAAGAAUAAUUAUGAGAAAAAAAUAUAUAUAUGUCAGAACGUGGAAUUUUUUCCGGUUUGAGAGAGUUUGUUAAAAUAUUAGCGUUUUGUUAAUAAUCAAAGAAUACAAUGUUAUGAAAUGGCAGACAAUUAAUAUUAACACACAGCUUUAGGCUAGUGUGACCACAAUGAGAUAGUAUUCAUUUAUUAAUCUUAGGAAUUGUGUAGAAUAAAAGGAAAAAAAGAAAAAC